AACGAACGCUGGCGGCAGGCUUAACACAUGCAAGUCGAGCGCCCCGCAAGGGGAGCGGCAGACGGGUGAGUAACGCGUGGGAAUCUACCCAUCUCUACGGAAUAACGCAUGGAAACGUGUGCUAAUACCGUAUACGUACUUCGGGAGAAAGCUUUAUCGGAGAUGGAUGAGCCCGCGUUGGAUUAGCUAGUUGGUGGGGUAAAGGCCUACCAAGGCGACGAUCCAGAGCUGGUCUGAGAGGAUGAUCAGCCACACUGGGACUGAGACACGGCCCAGACUCCUACGGGAGGCAGCAGUGGGGAAUAUUGGACAAGGGGCGCAAGCCUGAUCCAGCCAUGCCGCGUGAGUGAUGAAGGCCCUAGGGUUGUAAAGCUCUUUCACCGGUGAAGAUAAUGACGGUAACCGGAGAAGAAGCCCCGGCUAACUUCGUGCCAGCAGCCGCAGUAAUAC
rnacentral:rRNA from 1 species